rnacentral:tRNA from 1 species
GGAUAGCUCAGUUGGUAGAGCAUGAGACUCAGUCUCAGGGUUGUGGGUUUCAGCCCCAUGUGGGGCA